AGGAGAGGAUCCUUCCUUUCUUCCAGCUUCUGAUAGUGCCAUGUAUUACAGAUUUUUCUGGAUGUGCUACUGCGUAGGUUAACUUUGUGCUGAAAGCUUUCAAUUCAUCUUUCUAUGAAAGUACUGGCACAGAGGCAGAGACACAGGCAGAGGGAGAAGCAGGCUCCAUGCAG